UACGUAGGGGGCAAGCGUUGUCCGGAAUCAUUGGGCGUAAAGCGCGUGUAGGCGGCUUGGUAAGUCUGCUCUGAAAGCCCGGGGCUCAACCCCGGGAGGCGGGUGGAUACUGUCAAGCUCGAGUCCGGAAGAGGAGUGUGGAAUUCCGUGGUAUAGCGGUGAAAUGCGCAGAUAUCAGGAGGAACACCAGUGGCGAAGGCGGC
rnacentral:rRNA from 1 species